CACCGGCGUCCUGAGUGGGAAUCACAUAUUGGGUCUAAAGCGCUCGUAGUCGGCUUUGUCGAUCUCUUGUGAAAUCGUGUCGCUUAACGGCACGGCGUGCAGGAGACACCGCAGAGCUUGGGACUGGGAGGCGUCAGAAGUAUUCCUUAGGGAGCGGUAAAAUGUGAUAAUCUAAGGAGGACUACCUGUGGCGAAGGCGUCUGACGAGAGCAGGUUCGACGAUCAGGAGCGAAGGCUAGGGGAGCAAACCGGAU
rnacentral:rRNA from 1 species